AACGAACGCUGGCGGCAUGCCUAACACAUGCAAGUCGAACGAAGCCUUCGGGCUUAGUGGCGCACGGGUGCGUAACACGUGGGAAUCUGCCCUUCGGUUCGGAAUAACAGUUAGAAAUGACUGCUAAUACCGGAUGAUGACGUAAGUCCAAAGAUUUAUCGCCGAAGGAUGAGCCCGCGUAGGAUUAGGUAGUUGGUAGGGUAAUGGCCUACCAAGCCGACGAUCCUUAGCUGGUCUGAGAGGAUGAUCAGCCACACUGGGACUGAGACACGGCCCAGACUCCUACGGGAGGCAGCAGUGGGGAAUAUUGGACAAUGGGCGAAAGCCUGAUCCAGCAAUGCCGCGUGAGUGAUGAAGGCCUUAGGGUAUAAAGCUCUUUUACCAGGGAUGAUAAUGACAGUACCUGGAGAAUAAGCUCCGGCUAACUCCGUGCCAGCAGCCGCGGUAAU
rnacentral:rRNA from 1 species